UACGGAGGGGGCUAGCGUUGUUCGGAAUUACUGGGCGUAAAGCGCACGUAGGCGGCUUUGUAAGUUAGAGGUGAAAGCCCAGGGCUCAACCCUGGAAUUGCCUUUAAGACUGCAUCGCUCGAAUCAUGGAGAGGUGAGUGGAAUUCCGAGUGUAGAGGUGAAAUGCGUAGAUAUCUGGAGGAACACCGGUGGCGAAGGCGGCAUCCUGGACCGGUAUUGACGCUGAGGCGCGAAAGCCAGGGGAGCAAACGGG
rnacentral:rRNA from 1 species